rnacentral:rRNA from 1 species
CUACGGGUCGCAGCAGUGGGGAAUCUUGGACAAUGGGCGCAAGCCUGAUCCAGCCAUGCCGCGUGAGUGAAGAAGGUCUUCGGAUUGUAAAGCUCUUUUGCCAGGGACGAUAAUGACGGUACCUGGAGAAUAAGCCCCGGCAAACUUCGUGCCAGCAGCCGCGGUAAUACGAAGGGGGCUAGCGUUGUUCGGAAUUACUGGGCGUAAAGCGCACGUAGGCGGGUCGUUAAGUCAGGGGUGAAAUCCCGGAGCUCAACUCCGGAACUGCCUUUGAUACUGGCGAUCUUGAGAUCGGAAGAGGUGAGUGGAAUUCCCAGUGUAGAGGUGAAAUUCGUAGAUAUUGGGAAGAACACCAGUGGCGAAGGCGGCUCACUGGUCCGAUACUGACGCUGAGGUGUGAAAGCGUGGGGAGCAAACAGGAUUAGAUACCCCAGUAGUC